AAAGACAAAACCUAUUCCAAUGGUGGAAAUUCGACGUGGAAGACAAAGCAGAAAGAUUUGUUUUCCUGGGAAUACACAAAAGAAUUGUGCAUCCUUGCACUAACAUUAGGAGAAAGCAAGGCGGAAACAAUUAUAUACCGCAACUUGUUUUCGUAUACCAUCAUGAUAUAGUGAAGAGUCCAGAAAGGAUGAUUACAUGGAUUGAAAUAUCUAUCAGGUGUCGACACCAAAUCAACAUGGGUAUGGGAACCAAAUCAGGCAGAAAUGCAAGUCCACUUGCUGGUUUCAGCAUAAACGUGGUGCACUCUUCAGUCUUCAUGAAGGUUUGCUUGCCAAGAAAGGUGGGCACCUUUGCCAGUAUGCUUGAUUCUUCUGUAAAAUGGAGGACAGUUGAUACCGUCUCAACGAUGCAGAAUAAAGAUGGGUUAAGAAAAUCAGAACUCAGAAGUCAACUAUAAAUGACCUCUAGUGAAAAAUUUUUGCAUCACAUUUUUUAAUAAAAAGGUUUUCAUAUGGUGUUCUGGUGAUAGCCCCACUAUGCACAGUAAGAAUCACAUGCCAUUCUCCUUUUUUUGUUUUCUAAUGAUUGGGAUGGGUAAUGUGGGGGGCAGCUCAAGCCAAAAUAUGUGAUCUAUAUUUCAUUGUUGUCUCUAUCUUAGCAUCAGAGGUUUGAGGCUGCAGCAGGCUAGAUGAAUCUAUUUCAUCAGAUUGGAUCAUUAGCCACCUGAUCUUGCUUUCUCAUGCUGCAAAUUAUAGUCCUAUUACCCUAUGAUUGUGUUGUACCCUAGUACUAGGAGCCUGCAUAUUCCUUCCUAUGAAUAUAGUUCAUUUCUUUAUCGCACAUGCUUCUAUGAAGAGAAAGUUAUGUAAAGUUAGAAAAAUAUUCUCAAAAAGGCCACGCACAAAAUAUGGGAUUUGUCAUUAAUACAAAAAGCAUACAGUUAAGGAAGAUAUGAGCACAGGAGAAGAUAUAUUUUUGUUUAAAUGCUCUAUGUUUCAUCCUCUAGUGAUUGCAGUUCCUUGCAAGGAGGUUUCUGAUCACAGAUUCAGUUAGGUAGGAUCUCCUAAGUCAGCUCCCACUAAGGAUGCAAGAGGGAAUGUCCUACAUGAAAGAUCGCGGCCGCCAUUAGCUGAGGAAUUAAUGCCUUUCAAAGUACUGGGCCAUUCUACAUGCUUCUAACUGCCUUGCUUGAUCUCCAGUAAAAUCUCAUCCUCUCGUUUCUACUUCAUGCUUUUUAUGAGAUAACAUUUUCUAUCUCAUACCACUGAUAGUUCAAGUACUAAUAUUUUCUUCUUUUUUGGAGUACUUUGCUGUGUAGAUGUCAUUCUCCCAUGCUCUUUUAACUUUUAGACUUCUGGAAAGUAAUUCGGAAGAGAGAAAAGAUAGAAAUGCAAAGUGUUGUUACCGUCACCAUAGUAGAAUUACUAUCAACCUUAGGCAAUCCAAAACAAAAGGGAAUAUUUGUUUGUUUUAAGUUUUAAGUUUGAAGUUUGAGACAUAACAUAUUUAAUCCAUGGCCUAUGGGCUAGAGAACAAAAGACUGAAUAUUGUGGCCUUCCAACAAAUUAUGAUAUGAUCUCACAUAGGUCAAAGUAGAAAAUUAUUUCAUCGGUUGGCUGCCAUUCUGUUUUUGUUACAAUAUUAACCGUGGUGUUCUCAUCAGGAAAAGGGAAAUGAAAAAUGGAAAAGACAUGGCUAUGGUGAUUAGGUAGAUUAAGCAUGCUCACCAGAUACACCAGGUGGAAUGUAUUCUAUGAGUUUUCUGUAAUUUCCUUUUAAAUUAAUUCAAAUAGUCUGGCACGAUUUGAGUUGGCAAACAGUUUAGUACCUUAUUUACUGUUCUUGCCUUUUGCCGGACGUACUACAGUAGUUUUUUUUUUCUGUUCAUCAUUUCUACUCUGUAUUUAAAACUCUUAACCCUUGUCCAAGGCAUAACU